rnacentral:rRNA from 1 species
GGGGAAUUUUGGACAAUGGGCGCAAGCCUGAUCCAGCCAUGCCGCGUGUCUGAAGAAGGCCUUCGGGUUGUAAAGGACUUUUGUCAGGGAAGAAAAGGCUGUUGCUAAUACCAGCGGCUGAUGACGGUACCUGAAGAAUAAGCACCGGCUAACUACGUGCCAGCAGCCGCGGUAAUACGUAGGGUGCGAGCGUUAAUCGGAAUUACUGGGCGUAAAGCGGGCGCAGACGGUUACUUAAGCAGGAUGUGAAAUCCCCGGGCUCAACCCGGGAACUGCGUUCUGAACUGGGUGACUCGAGUGUGUCAGAGGGAGGUAGAAUUCCACGUGUAGCAGUGAAAUGCGUAGAGAUGUGGAGGAAUACCGAUGGCGAAGGCAGCCUCCUGGGAUAACACUGACGUUCAUGCCCGAAAGCGUGGGUAGCAAACAGGAUUAGAUACCCUGGUAGUCCACGCCCUAAACGAUGCCAAUUAGCUGUUGGGCAACCUGAUUGCUUAGUAGCGUAGCUAACGCGUGAAAUUGACCGCCUGGGGAGUACGGUCGCAAGAUUA